rnacentral:misc_RNA from 1 species
UACAGAGGUCUCGAACGUUGCGCGGAAUCACUGGGCUUAAAGGGUGCGUAGGCGGAUCCAUAAGUGCUUUGUGAAAUACCUCGGCUCAACCGAGGAACCGCUUGGCAGACUGUGGGUCUUGAGUUCGGUAGGGGUCGUCGGAACGCUAGGUGGAGCGGUGAAAUGCGUAGAUAUCUAGCGGAACGCCCAAGGUGAAGACAGACGACUGGGCCGAUACUGACGCUGAGGCACGAAAGCGUGGGGAGCGAACGGG